rnacentral:rRNA from 1 species
AUUGAACGCUGGCGGCAUGCCUUACACAUGCAAGUCGAACGGCAGCACGGGAGCAAUCCUGGUGGCGAGUGGCGAACGGGUGAGUAAAGUAUCGGAACGUGCCCAGUCGUGGGGGAUAGCGUAGCGAAAGUUACGCUAAUACCGCAUACGAUCUAUGGAUGAAAGCGGGGGAUCGCAAGACCUCGCGCGAUUGGAGCGGCCGAUAUCAGAUUAGGUAGUUGGGAGGGUAAAGGCUCACCAAGCCGACGAUCUGUAGCUGGUCUGAGAGGACGACCAGCCACACUGGGACUGAGACACGGCCCAGACUCCUACGGGAGGCAGCAGUGGGGAAUUUUGGACAAUGGGCGAAAGCCUGAUCCAGCCAUGCCGCGUGCAGGAUGAAGGCCUUCGGGUUGUAAACUGCUUUUGUACGGAACGAAAAGGUUUGGCCUAAUAAGCUGAGCUCAUGACGGUACCGUAAGAAUAAGCACCGGCUAACUACGUGCCAGCAGCCGCGGUAACAC